rnacentral:lncRNA from 1 species
UGGAAUUUGAAAUUUAGCUGAAUGCAAGUAUCUAAAAUAAGGAUAAAAGAUGAUUUAGCAGAAAUGUUAGUAUUUCUAUCUAAAUUUAAUUUCAGGGAGGCAACUAGGGUUCGGCAAUAUCAACUCUCAUGGAUGAUUUAGCUGAAUGUUAUUAUUUCUACUAGUUAUUAUGAAUCUGAAAAGGUCAUAUUCCCCUCAUUUAAUCUAGUUUCUGUUUGAUGGCCAUUAUUGUGUAAAAAUCAUGUUUUGAAUAGUGAUUUUUGGAGAUGUGUGAUUAAAAAUGGGAAAAAAAUAUGAGUUUACGUGCAAAAUAUUUUAUUGUGUGAAUCUUUGGUUGAAAAUGUGUAUGAGAAAUAAAUUGUUCUAUUUUAAAGGGAGUCAAAGAGUGGCUAAGUUAGAGAAUAUCAACCCUCAUGAUUUAUAAUUGCCUUACAUGCUUAAAUUAAAUUUCAACCGUAUGGCAGUUAGCCCUCAACAGCAAAGAAAAUAGAUAAACAUGUUGGCUUGUCAUGCAUGGCAAUCACAAUUCAAUGCAUGUAUUGCAAUGAACUGAUUUUGAUAAAACAACCUUGCCAUUCAAUUUAGUCAUGGAUUUGGCAAUUUCCUAUCCUUUGUUGAAGAUCCUCCAACAGAAAAAGAACAUAACUUAAGGGAUUUCCCGAAAAAGCAUGCAAUUAUAAAUAUCAAGGAAAACUAAAAGGUUGCUUCGCUCAUCACAUCACUCUGGUUAAAGCUUGCGUUCGUCCGUGCUCCCAACAACCCUAAUGACAAAUAUUUCCUCGAGCAUUUUUGUCUUUACUCCCUUCAUUCAAAGAAAUCGUACAUUUAUUUUCACAUCUAAUAUUUCAGAAAACAAUUGCACCUUCAAUGUGUGAAUUUACCAAUAUAUAAAAUUAAUUGAUUUCAGUUAUAUAUUAUUCAUGUUCCCAUAACUUACUAGUAUGUUUAUGUACUAUAUUCUUCAAUUUCAUUAAGCUUCACACUACUAACAUAAGAGAUAAAGAAGCAUGUAAAUCUAUUCAUCUAUAAUUCACGAAAAUGAAUAAUUUAAUCAAUAUUAAGAAGCAAUUUUCUUAUUAAAAAUAAUUGGAAACAGUGAAGAAAAAACCAUUCCAAUUUGGAAAUCCUCAUUCUCCGUUGUUCACAAAUCCAUUUGAGGUUUUCAGGAAAACCCAGUCUUUUCUCUUUCAGUUGCUGCUCGGGGAAAAAAGCUUCACUGGGGAAGGCAGCUAGUUGAUCACUUGUGCUUUUAGCUUAAAGGACUAAUCUUUGCUUGAACUUAGCCCGA